CCCCCCAACGUGCUGCCUCCCCGCCCCAUUUGUGUCCUCUGGCCAUCGCCCUCUCUGUUAACGCCCAUCACUGCAAAGACCCUUUUCCUUCAUCGGCGUUUGCUGUUCUUCCUGCCAGUGCGUGUUGCUUUCACUUACACUUGCCACAGCCAGCCUCGUGAGUGCCUAGCCUAUUGGAUAUCACUGUCACCUACACAGGACAGUCAUUACCUUUCUAUUAAUACUUUGUGGUUUAAUUUCACAUUAAUUUCCAUAUUGUAUAAACGACUGGAAAAAACUUGAGCCCCUGCCCCUGUAUAAUCAUGUGCAUGUCUCUGUUCUAGCUCCAAGGUGAAUCUUCACUGCUCAUGUUCUCCUCAGAAGCACUCACCUCACUCCCCUCAGGUUACUGUACACAUGCACCAACUGCCUGCUUCAGGUUUGGAUGGAGCUUCAUGGUUGUCUUUUGGAGAAAUGACCAGUCAAGUUGUGUUUGAAAUUUGAUUUUUUUCAGGGGCAAAAGGAGCCUCUGCAUUCUUGUCAAAUAUGUAAAUAGCAUGUUUUUGCAGGUGCUAAAAACCAGACUCUGAGUGUGUGUGUGUGUGUGUGUGUGUGUGUGUGUGUGUGUGUGUGUGUGUGUGUGUGUGUGUGUCUAUGUGUGCGUUCAAGUCACAUGACAUAUUUAACCGGAUGUAGCUGCAAGACGGAGCCUCGUUGACUCUCCGUUUCAACUUAUCUCAAAAGUGAGGACCUCAACCUAUAUACCAGUUUUUAAAUUGUGUUGAUAGGCCAAAUAAAACCAGAGUUAUGAUAAAUUAUGUCCGCGAUACUUUUUUUCUGCUUAUUUUGAUCACGUUCGGCGCUCGAUCGCGCUGUAUGAGACAGGAAAACAUAGCAUGCAGACAUUAGCGACAGGUCUUACAGGCGGAAAAGGCUUGCCAAAAGAAAAAAAAAACACACCACAACAUCUCUCCUAUUGGUGGAAAACUUCACCACAACAACCAAUCCAAAAUUAUAUGGUGACUGAUUGACAAGGGGCGGGCGCUUACGUUCUUCCUGCAACAUGAGAAGGGAGGGAGGGACUCUCAGCAGGGAUGCAGUCUGGGACACGUAGUUGCAAACCUAGCGACUUUGUUGUUAGAUUCAAUGACUUUUCAGACACCCUAACGACUUUUUUUUAGAAAGAAAGUGACUUUUAUCGACUUCUUCUGGAGUUUAGAGACUCUGACAUGAAGCAGGCUUUCCAUACUGAGGAGUUAGCAACGCUGCUAAGGGUGCAGAGCCACACAUGCGCUCAGAGCUCUGCAUGGGAGACUGAAGCUGACAGAGCUGCAGCAGUUAGCAGGUUUCACCCUCAGAGACCACCAGGGGUUCAUGUUGAGGCAUUUUAAUUUUUUUUUUUUUUUGUGCCAUAGACACUGUCAGCACAAUCUGCAGUUACACUAACAAAAAUGCUGCAAAAAACAAAGAAUUAUGGAAAAAUUACACAUGGACUGACAUAGAGGAGGAUCUACACAAGUUUUUUACAUCAUGUUUUACAUCAUGCAUCAUUUACAUCAUGUUUUUUUGUAGUGGCAUAAAUAAAAAGUGACAUUUGUGAGACUAUACAGUGUUUUGUAAAUAAUUUUACAAAGAACGCCUGGGCCAUUGCCUGCAUUUUGAUGUAAAUAGAGGUAAAUUACUAUGUUCUUUGUUAAAAAUUUGCAUAUGUUUUGAAGUUUACAAUUUUUAUUUGAAGUUUAAGUUUUAAAAACAGUUCAUCACACAUAUUUGUGGUUUAAUUUCACAUUAAUUUCCAUAUUGUAUAAAUGACUGGAAAAAACUUGAGCCCCUGCCCCUCUAUAAUCAUGUGCACGUCCCUGUUCUAGCUCCAAGGUGAAUCUUCACUGCUCAUGUUCUCCUCAGAAAUAGUCACCUCACUCCCCUCAGGUUACUGUACACAUGCACCAACUAUCUGCUUCAGGUUUGAAAUGGAGCUUCAUGGUUGUCUUUUGGAGAAAUGAACAGUCAAGUUGUGUUUGAAAUUUGAUUUUUUUCAGGGGCAAAAGGAAGCCUCUGCAUUCUUGUCAAAUAUGUAAACAGCAUGUUUUUGCAGGUGCUAAAAAACAGACUCUGAGUGUGUGUGUGUGUCUGUGUGUGUGUGUGUGUGUGUGUGUGUGUGUGUGUGUAUGUUGGCGUGUGUGUAUAUGUGUGUGUAUCCUGCAGUACUCUGUACUCCUGCAGUGGCCAAAAAGACUUUUAAGAAUGUGGAUUUUUGGGUCAUCUUUGGCGCCCCCUAGAACUGCAGUACUCUGUACUCCUGCAGUGGCCAAAAUGACUUUUAAGAAUGUGGAUUUUUGGGUCAUCUUUGGCGCCCCCUAGAACGUAAACCGUGGGGUGCAGCGUCAUGAUUUUUACAACUUUGAAUGGGCAUGGGGUGUAGAUAGCCCUGAGCAAAUUUGGUAUCGGUGGGACGAAAGCCUUAGGAGGAGAUAGCCACAUUCCAAUGUGUGCGAAUCGGCAAAAAAUGCAAAAUAGCCCUUUAACCGUACAUUAUACAGAUACGCGCUCUUUGACUUUUUCGUAGAUCUAAUUGAGAUACACAUGAUUGUCAAAUUUUGUGUCAAUAUGACAAAGCGUUCAGGCGUGACACUCAACAAUGUGUAUUUUUAUGUAAGGGGACAAGAAAAAAUUGCCUUUUUUCUCCUACCAUGGGGGGGCGCUCUUUUGGGGAGUAAAAAUUCCUUCACAAAUGUGUUGAUGGCUGGACAUUGCAUCAUCCUAGAAAACUUGGAGGCCAGUGAGGACAGAAAUAAAAAGUUAUAAAACAUUUAAGAAUGUGGAUUUUUGGGUUAUCUUUGGCGCCCCCUAGAACCUAAACCAUGGGGUGCAGCAUCAUGAUUUGAAUAACUUUUAAUGGCCAUGGGGUGUAGAUUGGCCUGAGCAAAUGUGGUGCCGGUGGAACGAAAGCCUUCGGAGGAGUUAGCGAAAUUCCAAUGUGUGCGUAUCGGCAAAAAAUGCGGAAUAACCCUUUAACUGUACAUUUGACAGAUACGCGCGCACUGACUUUUUUGUAGAUCUUAUAGAGUUACAUGUGUGUGUCAAUUUUUGUGUCAUUUUGACAAAGCGUAUAGGCGUGACACUCAACAAUGUGUAUUUUCACCUUAGGGGACAAGAAAAAAUGGAGUUUUUUCUCCUGCCAUGGGGGGGCGCUCUUUUGGGGAGUAAAAAUUCCUUCACAAAUGUGUUGAUGGCUGGACAUUGCAUCAUCCUAGAAAACUUGGAGGCCAGUGAGGACAAAAAUAAAAAGUUAUAAGACUUUUAAAUAUGUGGAUUUUAGUGUUAUCUUUGGCGCCCCCUAGAACCUAAACCGUGGGGUGCAGCGUCAUGAUUUUGAUAACUUUUAAUGGCCACGGGGUGUAGAUUGGCCUGAAUAAAUGUGGUGCCGGUGGAACGAAAGCCUUCGGAGGAGUUAGCGAAAUUCCAAUGUGUGCGGAUCGGCAAAAAAUGCGAAAUAACCCUUUAACCGUACAUUUGACAGAUACGCCCGCACUGACUUUUUUGUAGAUCUUAUCAAGAUACAUGUGUGUGUCAAUUUUUGUGUCAUUUUGACAAAGCGUACAGGCGUGACAGUCAAUAGUGUGAAUUUUCACCUUAGGGGGCGCUAUGGAGCCAUUUUGCAUUUUCUUGUUUGGGCGACUUCGGAAUAUCAAAUUUUUCACCAGGCCCGGUCGUCCUGCCAAAUUUCCUGAGUUUUCGCCAGUGGGAAGUGGGCCAUUUUCCAGUUCAAAGGGGAGGAAAAAGAAGAAAGAAAGAAACAAAGAAAAACCCCUACAGGAAUAACAGGGCCUACGCCCGGCUGCUCUGCAGCUGGCUCGGGCCCUAAAAACCUAUACAGGAAUAAUAGGGCUCUACGCCCGGCUGCUCUGCAGCUGGCUCGGGCCCUAAUAACUAGGGCCCCGUUGGGGCACUGGCGGGCCCGAGCCGUGUCGCGCCGCCCCCAACACGACCGCCUCUCCCUACCGAUCGCGUCACACUCAAGGUCCAAAGAUGGUGUGCGCACUUGUCUGUGGUCAUUUACAAUUAUAAUGAAUGGGAGGCGCAGUUUCUACCAAAACGCUCGCCGUAGACAAACUACAUGUCCUAUUUGAAAAGGACUGGACCAUGAGUGAGGGCACAAACACAGCUAGGAUAUAUCCAAAUGGCAAUUUGCU